rnacentral:rRNA from 1 species
UGGGGAAUAUUGGACAAUGGGGGAAACCCUGAUCCAGCGAUGCCGCGUGAAUGAAGAAGGCCUUAGGGUUGUAAAGUUCUUUCACCUGUGACGAUGAUGACGGUAACAGGAGAAGAAGCCCCGGCUAACUCCGUGCCAGCAGCCGCGGUAAGACGGAGGGGGCUAGCGUUGUUCGGAAUGACUGGGCGUAAAGGGCGCGUAGGCGGCUUAUCAAGUCAGGUGUGAAAGCCUUGGGCUUAACCCAAGAAUUGCGCUUGAUACUGAUAAGCUAGAGGAUGAUAGAGGAAAGCGGAAUUCCUAGUGUAGAGGUGAAAUUCGUAGAUAUUAGGAAGAACACCAGAGGCGAAGGCGGCUUUCUGGAUCAUAUCUGACGCUGAGGCGCGAAAGCGUGGGGAGCAAACAGG